rnacentral:rRNA from 1 species
AGAGCGAACGCUGGCGGCAGGCCUAACACAUGCAAGUCGAGCGGCCGUAGCAAUACGGCAGCGGCAGACGGGAGAGUAACACGUGGGAACGCGCCCUUCGGUUCGGAAUAACUCAGGGAAACUUGGGCUAAUACCGGAUACGCCCUUACGGGGAAAGAUUUAUUGCCGAAGGAACGGCCCGCGUCCGAUUAGCUUGUUGGUGAGGUAACGGCUCACCAAGGCGACGAUCGGUAGCUGGUCUGAGAGGAUGACCAGCCUCACUGGGACUGAGACACGGCCCAGACUCCUACGGGAGGCAGCAGUGGGGAAUAUUGGACAAUGGGCGCAAGCCUGAUCCAGCCAUGCCGCGUGGGUGAUGAAGGCCCUAGGGUUGUAAAGCCCUUUCGGCGGGAAGAUAAUGACGGUACCGCAGAAGAAGCCCGGCUAACUUCGCGCCAGCAGCCGC